rnacentral:lncRNA from 1 species
UGAUAGUUAUUUUAUAUUCAUUCCAUUCCAUUUACAGUAUACUAUGUUAGGUGGAAACAAAUUUAAUGAGGGCCUGUUAAAACUACGCUUGAGAGUAAUCACUAAACCCAAGUUGGGGGAAUAUAAACCCCAAGACAUAGUAAACGGAACCAAAACCUUUUUGUAAUUAAACCCACAUGGUAUAAUAGGGGACAUAUGUAUUUAGAUGAUUCAUUACGAGGGAGUGUUAAAACUAUACUUGAGAGUAAACACUAAAGCCAAGUUAGGGGAAUGUAAACCCCAAAACCUAGUUAAUGGAACCCAAACCUUUUUGAAUAAAACUCACCUGGCAUAAUAGGG